rnacentral:tRNA from 2 species
GGGAGAGAUGGCUGAGUGGACUAAAGCGUCGGAUUGCUAAUCCGUUGUAUGAGUUUUUCGUACCGAGGGUUCGAAUCCCUCUCUUUCCGUUUUUGUUUCCG